rnacentral:lncRNA from 1 species
GUCAGGGAAGGGGACAUUUGGUAGGAAAGGAGGGACAAUCUACAGGGAGCCUGCACCAGUCUGCUCCAGGCAGUGGCCCGGCCAGCGCCUCCUGCUUUUCUGUGUCUGGUGGAGCUCAGGCCUCGAGAGGAGAGGCAAUGGGCCAAGAUGAAGAGACACAAGCGGCCGCCUGGAGGAACAGGGCCUGCGGGGGCUUCGCUGCCAGGCGCCCCUCACGCUGGACGGGAACCGCUGAGACAGAGAGGAGGGGUCCCAGCGGGGAGGCACAGAGGACCAGGCCAGAGUUCACAGGGAUGAGCUGGCAACCCUGCCCCUCCGGACCCCCAGAUGCUGGGGAAAGUGCAACGGGCAUCUUCGGAAAUCUUGGAGACAUUUUCCACCCAGGGAUGCAGACAGGUGUCACUCCCACCUUCGCAACAACAAAGAUUCCGGACAAACUCAUGCCUGAGUCUUCCUAAACUCCCAGAAUGCUGAGGUCAUGUGUGACCAGUGGUCUGAGGUCAAAGGAGAGAUGGGUGCCCUCGGGGAGGCGGUGGGAUGGCAGAUGCAGCCGGCACAGUCGGAAGAGGUCAGAUAGAGACACGGCAAGAACGUGGGCCCUGAGCCGAGGGGAGCUUGCUGCUCGUGGGCCUUCCCUCCACAGACUUGGAGAGAGGCCCGAGACACCUGGGAGGGGACCAACAGCAGCCCCUGAGGGGGGCACAUGGCAAGGCUGGGCCCUUCUCCCCUUUAAUCCAUGGGAGAAAUGCAACAAACACUGCCACCCUAAGGGCACUGUGGAAGGCGUUUUGGGGUUGGGGGACAUAAAGACAAUCUCUGUCCCUGGGCAAGAGGCGGGAGGGCGCUCUGGGCCCGGACAGCAGAGACCCCUGCUCCUGGGGGAGGCACAGCAUCACUGAGCAGACCCCACCCCAAGACGCAGGGACAUCCCACCUGCUGGGAGUGCAGGAGUUUUGGUCAUAAAUCAUAUCUCAAUAAAACUGAUUAGGAGAAAAUGAUGAAUGGAGAUGACAGGCAAAGGAAAGGUAACAUACACACAAUUGUAAUCCCCAAAGGAAAAAACUAGAAAAAUGGACAAGAAUAAGUACUGAAAAAGGUGAGUCAGAAGUACCUUUCAGGAAGCCAGCUCUGGGCUAUCACUGUGAGGAGGUCCACAGGCCCAUUCUCCAGCAGAACAACAAUAACUGGAGGAAAAAAAUUUUAAGUCCCUGGGAAUAUUCUAAGGGCAUAGAGCACAUGAAGCCGGGGGCUUCGUUCCUCCAUCCAGCCCAGCCACAGGGUGGAGACCCUCCCUGGGCACAGCAGGCCGGGCACACGCAGCCCGUCUCACCUUUGCUCCACUCACCUGUGGGGUCGGGCUCCACGAGAGGCAGGUGGAGAUGCCCAGAGGUGCCUGCCCCUGCCCAGGCCCUGCUCACAAAGUAAGAACGUACCUCUGAGGGGAGUGGGCCACUGCCCCGCCCGCCUGCAGAGUGACAGGCCCUCCCAGGGAAAGGCAGUCUGUGAGAAGGGAGCUCCCAGGCCCUCCCCAGAGGAACCGGCUUUAUCUGAACCAGAGUGUGGGGAGGUUCGAGCCUGUGGGUGCUCUUGAAAUCAAUGGGGGAUUUGGUGACAAGCAACUGAGAGGAGACUGUAGCUUCUUUGGAGAAACUAGCUCAACCAUAGACCAGCUGGUUUCCUAGAGAGGACACGGGAAAGAGGUAAAUAAGAAGAGAUCUCCUGGGGUCGGAACAAGCCGCAAGGACUUGCAUCAAAAAAUGACCCCUGCAAAGGAGCCCAAAUUUAAUAGGAUCAGACUGGGGGUAAAGUUGUAUCCCAGGCAUUGUCAACAAUAACAGAGCAACCUGCUGGCCAUUAGCGGACACCCAGAGCUAGGUGUCAGAUAGCUCAGCAGAGAGACCAGGGACAGAGAGCCCCAGAGGGCCCUGCUGAAAUCACUGUCACCCCAGGGUGGCAUGUCCUCUGAGGAUUGACACCACAGGCUUCACACUGCAGCAGGAAUAGAGUUCGCUUGCUCUCUUUUCUUGUCUCUCUUUCCUUAAAAGACAUAAAAUUACAGGAAGCAAUAAUUUAAC